AGUUAAACAGUACGUGAAAUUGUUGAAAGGGAAACGAUUGAAGUCAGUCAUACUAACGGGAAAUCAACCUCUUGAGUUUGGUCUCGUGGGUUUCGAAGAGUUUUAAAAGCCUUCGGAUUUUCGAGAUUGGGCUCUUCUGGUGUACUUUCUCGUACGGUUAGUCAACAUCGGUUUUGAAUGUCAUAAAAUGACUGGAGGAAUGUGGCUUCGAUCUCGUAUUGAAGUGUUAUAGCCUUUGGUAGAUGUGAUGUUUGAGAUCGAGGAUUGCAACGGAUACCCUUCUGGGCUAUUCGUCUGAUCUCUGAAACGUUGCCUUGAUGUCGAAAGCUUGCUUAUGAUGUUAGGGUAUUACGGUCAAAAGGUUAGAACGGAUUAAAUUCGUUAAGGAUGUUGACGUAAUGACUUUAAA
rnacentral:misc_RNA from 1 species